rnacentral:misc_RNA from 1 species
AACCUUCCCUUCUUUCACAGACCCUUUCCCCCGGAUCAUAAUCUUGGCAUUGCACUCCUUCUCUAUGUUCUUCAGGGUGUUCCCUCUGGGCCCGAUGAGCAGCCCCACAAAGUUGAUUUCUGGGUACUCAUCUUGUGGAAUCAUGACUUUAUCACUCACACGUGUUGCUGGAGGUUUGUAAUCUGCAGGUGGCUUGAAAUCCGGAUUG